rnacentral:rRNA from 1 species
CCCUACGGGGUGCGCAGGCGGAAAAAUAAGUCAGUGGUGAAAUCCUGCAGCUUAACUGUAGAAUUGCCGUUGAUACUGUUAUUCUUGAGUGUGGUCAAGGUAGGCGGAAUGUGUAAUGUAGCGGUGAAAUGCUUAGAUAUUACACAGAACACCGAUUGCGAAGGCAGCUUACUGGGCCAUUACUGACGCUCAUGCACGAAAGCGUGGGGAUCGAACA